GGCUAAAACUCAAAGGAAUUGACGGGACCCGCACAAGCGUGGAUGAUGUGGAUUAAUUCGAUGCAACGCGAAAAACCUUACCUACCCUUGACAUGUCAGGAAUCCUGGAGAGAUCUGGGAGUGCUCGCAAGAGAACCUGAACACAGGUGCUGCAUGGCUGUCGUCAGCUCGUGUCGUGAGAUGUUGGGUUAAGUCCCGCAACGAGCGCAACCCUUGUCAUUAAUUGCCAUCAUUCAGUUGGGCACUUUAAUGAGACUGCCGGUGACAAACCGGAGGAAGGUGGGGAUGACGUCAAGUCCUCAUGGCCCUUAUGGGUAGGGCUUCACACGUCAUACAAUGGUCGGUUCAGAGGGUUGCCAACCCGCGAGGGGGAGCCAAUCUCAGAAAGCCGAUCGUAGUCCGGAUCGCAGUCUGCAACUCGACUUGUCGUUGUAAGUCGGAAUCGCUAGUAAUCGCGGAUCAGCAUGUCGCGGUGAAUACGUUCCCGGGUCUUGGUACACUACC
rnacentral:rRNA from 1 species